GGAUCAAUUGUCGGUCGUGCUUCGGUACGCACUGGCAUUAUUGGUUCCUACCUUCUGAAGAACCGCGAUGUCAUUAAUUUGGUGUCGUGGGGAAUCAGGACUGUUACUUUGUAAAAUUAAAGAGUGUUUAAAGUACAGGCGCACGCUUGAAUACAUUAGCAUGGAAUAAUGAAAUAGGACGUUUGAUUCUAUUUUGUUGGUUUCUAGGAUCGACGUAAUGAUUAAUAGGGAUAGUUGGG
rnacentral:rRNA from 1 species